rnacentral:lncRNA from 1 species
UGUCUGUAUAUAUAGUGUUGUCAUGGAAAAUUCUAGAACACUCUAUAAUGGAACAUUGUGGAAAAUCCUGGAAAGUUACAACGGAAGUUUCUGGAAUAACGUAGAAGUUUAAAUUACGCAUCGUUUAUAAGGAUCAUUCUAGAAAGUUCCAAUCAUUCUGUGAAUGUUCCAGUGAUUCCUAAACUGCACAGUUAUAAGAUUAUUUGGUAAACAACUAUCAGGCCAUACAACACAAAUUAGGCCAACAUAAAUAACAUAAUAAUUACAAUAUCAUAACAAUGUUUA